CCCCCCCCCACACACACAGAUAUAUAUAUAUAUAUAUGCGCGCGCGCACGUACACGUACAAAUUAAAUGGGUCAAAACACAGGUAGGUAGGGGUAUAGAGGUAGCGUACCUUGCAGAUUCAGGCAUCGUCAUACGCCAAUAAUAGGUGAAAGCAGCCGGAAUAGAACCCAGCAUGAGAAUCAACCUCCAGGCAAUAUCAGCUUGAUGCUGCCUCUUGUUGACAUCGUUGUCCCGAGUUGUGGUUGCCUCAAAGAUUUUGCAAACCGCCAUGGUGACCGUAGAGCUGGCCAAGAUACCAAAGCCCUGCAUAGAAAAAACCGCCGCAAUGAAGGCGCCACGCGUCAUCUUGUUAGCGAACUCGGACAUGAUGGUAGCAGAUAAGGGAUAGUCCCCGCCGAUGCCAACUCCAAGCAAGAACCUGAAGAAGCCUAGACUCCCGAGGACGCAUUGUUUAGUGGUGCAAAUGGAGAAGCCACAUGCAAGGGAGCUAAGCACCAUCAACAUCAAUGCUAAUCCGUACACGCGCCGACGUCCGAUGAGGUCACCUAGUCUGCCGAAGACCAGCUGCCCUAUCACCGUGCCCAGUAAAGCCAGGGCUAACAUCGGCGAUACGACCGCGUUUGGGAUUUGGAAUCGAUCGGCGCCAUCGCUGUAGUAGAUUCUUCCGAGGAGCUUCAUGAUGGGCGGGAUACAGAAGAGGUCAUAGGCAUCGGUAAAGAGCCCCAUCCCGGCUAUUAUUAUGGCUUUGAAGUGAUAGUACUGGGUCUUUGCUGAGUCUAGCGCUGAGAGCACUUUCAACGCCAUUCUUAUUUAUUUUUUUCUUAUCUCUUUAUUCUGCUUGCUCUUGAUCAUCAGCGAGCUGGAUAUUUAUAUAGCUCAUGAACAAUUAAUUCAAGAUCUCUCUCUCUCUCUCUCUCUCUCUCUGUAUAUAUAAUCAAAAACGACAAAGUAAACUAGUGGGUUAAUUUUUUGUUGUUUUUCUUCUUCUUCUAUGUAUAUAUAUAUCUGCUGUACGGCCAAGGCGGAUGUACGGUACAGCAGUUCCCCCCCCCCACACACACAGAUAUAUAUAUAUAUAUAUGCGCGCGCGCACGUACACGUACAAAUUAAAUGGGUCAAAACACAGGUAGGUAGGGGUAUAGAGGUAGCGUACCUUGCAGAUUCAGGCAUCGUCAUACGCCAAUAAUAGGUGAAAGCAGCCGGAAUAGAACCCAGCAUGAGAAUCAACCUCCAGGCAAUAUCAGCUUGAUGCUGCCUCUUGUUGACAUCGUUGUCCCGAGUUGUGGUUGCCUCAAAGAUUUUGCAAACCGCCAUGGUGACCGUAGAGCUGGCCAAGA
rnacentral:lncRNA from 1 species